CCUACGGGUGGCAGCAGUAAGGAAUAUUGGUCAAUGGACGAAAGUCUGAACCAGCCAUCCCGCGUGCAGGAUGAAAGCCCUAUGGGUUGUAAACUGCUUUUAGCAGAGAAGAAAAGCUUUCAUUAAUGAGAGUCUGACGGUAUCUGCAGAAUAAGCACCGGCUAACUCCGUGCCAGCAGCCGCGGUAAUACGGAGGGUGCGAGCGUUAUCCGGAGUAACUGGGUUUAAGGCGUGCGUAGAAGUAAGUUUAGAAAUAUUGUGGCUUAACGAUAAAAUUGCCACUGAUACUGGUACUCUUGAAUUGGGUUGAGGUUAGCGGAAUGUGACAUGUAGCGGUGAAAUGCAUAGAUAUGUCGUGGAACACCAAUUGCGAAGGCAGCUAACUGGGCCUUGAUUGACGCUGAGGCACGAAAGCGUGGGUAGCGAACAGGAUUAGAUACCCCGGUAGUC
rnacentral:rRNA from 1 species